rnacentral:rRNA from 1 species
UAGGGAAUCUUCCACAAUGGACGCAAGUCUGAUGGAGCAACGGCCGCGUGAGUGAAGAAGGUCUUCGGAUCGUAAAGCUCCGUUGUUGGUGAAGAAGGAUAGAGGCAGUAACUGGUCUUUAUUUGACGGUAAUCAACCAGAAAGUCACGGCUAACCACGUGCCAGCAGCCGCGGUAAUACGUAGGUGGCAAGCGUUGUCCGGAUUUAUUGGGCGUAAAGCGAGCGCAGGCGGAAUGAUAAGUCUGAUGUGAAAGCCCACGGCUCAACCGUGGAACUGCAUCGGAAACUGUCAUUCUUGAGUGCAGAAGAGGAGAGUGGAACUCCAUGUGUAGCGGUGGAAUGCGUAGAUAUAUGGAAGAACACCAGUGGCGAAGGCGGCUCUCUGGUCUGCAACUGACGCUGAGGCUCGAAAGCAUGGGUAGCGAACAGGAUUAGAUACCCUGGUAGUCCAUGCCGUAAACGAUGAGCGCUAGGUGUUGGGGACUUUCCGGUCCUCAGUGCCGCAGCAAACGCAUUAAGCGCUCCGCCUGGGGAGUACGACCGCAAGGUUGAAAC